UACGAAGGUCCCAAGCGUUAUCCGGAUUUAUUGGGUUUAAAGGGUGCGUAGGCGGCUUACUAAGUCAGUGGUGAAAUCCCGAAGCUUAACUUCGGAACUGCCAUUGAUACUGAUAAGCUUGAGUACAUUUGAAGUGGGCGGAAUGUGUUGUGUAGCGGUGAAAUGCUUAGAUAUGACACAGAACACCGAUUGCGUAGGCAGCUCACUAAACUGUCACUGACGCUGAGGCACGAAAGCGUGGGGAUCAAACAGG
rnacentral:rRNA from 1 species